rnacentral:rRNA from 1 species
CCUACGGGAGGUGCAGUCGAGGAUCUUCGGCAAUGGGGGAAACCCUGACCGAGCGACGCCGCGUGCGAGAUGAAGGCCUUCGGGUUGUAAAUCGCUGUCAGUGGGGAGGAAAUGCCGGUGGGUUCUCCCAUCGGUUUGACCUAUCCGCAGAGGAAGGACGGGCUAAGUUCGUGCCAGCAGCCGCGGUAAUACGGACCGUCCAAACGUUAUUCGGAAUCACUGGGCUGAAAGGGUGCGUAGGCGGUUCGGGAAGUUGGGUGUGAAAGCCCUCGGCUCAACGGAGGAAUUGCGACCAAAACUGCCGGGCUCGAGGGAGACAUAGGUGAGCGGAACUUAGGGUGGAGCGGUGAAAUGCGUUGAGAUCCUAAGGAACACCAGUAGCGAAAGCGGCUCACUGGGUCUCUUCUGACGCUGAAGCACGAAAGCUAGGGGAGCGAAGA